GUAAAGCACUUUCAAUAGGGAGGAAAAGCUGUGCGUUAAUAGCGUACAGCCGUGACGUUACCUAUAGAAGAAGCACCGGCUAACUCCGUGCCAGCAGCCGCGGUAAUACGGAGGGUGCAAGCGUUAAUCGGAAUUACUGGGCGUAAAGCGCGCGUAGGCGGUUUGCUAAGUCAGAUGUGAAAUCCCCGGGCUCAACCUGGGAAUGGCAUUUGAGACUGGUAGGCUAGAAUGUGGUAGAGGUGAGUGGAAUUCCAGGUGUAGCGGUGAAAUGCGUAGAGAUCUGGAGGAACAUCAGUGGCGAAG
rnacentral:rRNA from 1 species